rnacentral:lncRNA from 1 species
UUUUUAUGGAAUGUUGCAGGUGGAACAUUCCCUUCUCCAGCGAUCCUGAGAUUUCUUUAAGCCUGCGACUUCUGUGAUGAAGUUGUGUUACUGGAGAAUGCCUUGAAAGCAGACCAAAUGGGAAUUGCUCCGCUGUGGUCCAGACGCUGAAGGUUCCGGGGUAAAGGCAGAGGCUCGCACCGCUACUCUCUAACAUGCUAGACAAUGCCUUGCAAAGGAGAGCACCAGUACAUGGACUGCACCCGAGCACCGAAACGUCCCAUCCACGAUGACCCAAACUCUCCACAGAAUUUGGGGUGGUUCCACCCUGUCAGCUCACCCACACACAGCCUUUCACGCUGGCUUCCCCGGCCUUGCUUCUCAACAGUCAACAGAAAGACUGCAAGGCCCUCACUCCAGGAUUCAAUCCCAGGGAUUGAACCCGGAUCGCUUACAUCUCCUGCAUUGGCAGAUGGGUUCUUUACCACUAACACCACCUGGAAAGCCCCAAAGAGAGCUGGGAUUCAGCAGAGGUUUUGUUAAAAUAUGGCUGAUUCAUGCCAGUGAAUGGCAAAAACCGCUACAAUGUUGUAAGGUAAUUAGCCUCCAAUUAAAAUAA